UGAAGAACUUACAAAGUUUGAAAGAAUUAUCGUCGUCUGUGGGGAAAAGAAGAAUUUCUUUAAGCGCUCAAGUAAACAUCCUGAGCGAUAUCCUUUCAACCCUAAAAUGGUCGAAUUAAUGGCAGAGAGUCGUGUCUUCAUUUACCCUGAGCUGCUUCCUAAGCUUGCGAUCUUUCAAAGUGAACCAGGGCCGUGUAAAAUGUCUUCAUAUGAAGAACAGCUGAUAGCAAUGGGAAUGGAACAAUUUACUUCAUUUUGUUAGGAACUUUUGAUCGAUAAAAAGAGCGCAGUAGAAAACAUGGUUAAUUCCAUGAUUUCUCACUAAAUGCUACCACAUUGGACUGCCAAAAAGAUCGGAAUUCGUAUCAAGAACAAAUCGCUUAAAAACAAAAGAAGUAAUGAAGAA